GACAGAGGGUGCAAACGUUGUUCGGAAUUACUGGGCGUAAAGCGUGUGUAGGCGGCUUUGCAAGUCGGAUGUGAAAGCCCUGGGCUCAACCCGGGAAGUGCACUCGAUACUGCAGAACUUGAGUGUGGGAGAGGUUGGUGGAAUUCUCGGUGUAGAGGUGAAAUUCGUAGAUAUCGAGAGGAACACCGGCGGCGAAGGCGGCCAACUGGACCAACACUGACGCUGAGACACGAAAGCGUGGGGAGCAAACAGG
rnacentral:rRNA from 1 species